UGAGGUGCUUGUGCUCUUUGAGUUGCCCAUCACCAGGCAGUAGCGCUGAAGGCCGGGAGCCUGGAGCUGGCGGCGGUGCGGUGGGGCCAGCAGCGCAUGGGGCUGACUGCCCCUGAUGAGGCAGAAGGAGAAGCAGCUUCUGCAGGUGGUGGCUCUGGUACUAGCAGCCCUGGUCUUCCUGCCCAACGUGAUAUGCUAAUCAUGCCAGAUAAAGAUGAUCCUGAGAUUCCAGGGAUAACUGAUAAGCAUGUAAUGACCUUGAAGAUAGAAACUGAGAGUCAAUGGACUGGAGAGUCUUGCCUGGGCUGGCCUCAAACUCUGAUCCUCAGAUCUCAGCCUCCGGAGUAAAUAGGGUUCUAUAAGAGGCAAAGGAGAAAGAAGAGCUAAGAACCUCCAAUGAGGUAGCCAUGGAAACAGAUAAGAAAACUCAUUAUGGUCUACUCUUUGAUGAACUUCAAGGCCUUCACAUCUAGAAGCUCUGGAGAUGAUUUCCCAAGACAGUGAAAAA